CCAUGGCUUUUCGACCACGACAGACCAGUCGUAUACACAAAAAAUUUUUCUGUAUAUAAAACGAUAACUGUACCUAUAAAUCAAAAGAAGCUACAACCACAAAGUAAGAGCUGCUAAAACUGAAAAGUAAUAUAUAAAACCACGAGGGGUUCCAGUACAUACAAAUGCCUACAACACAACUCGCUCCAGCGAGUACCCUGACAACAUCACAGUAUGUACAAGAAAAAUUCAAAACUACUUCUG
rnacentral:lncRNA from 1 species